AGCUAGUUGGUAGGGGAAGAGCCUACCAAGGCAACGAUCGGUAGCUGGUCUGAGAGGACGAUCAGCCACACUGGGAUUGAGAACGGCCCAGACUCCUACGGGGGGCAGCAGUGAGGAAUUUUCCGCAAUGGGGGCAACCCUGACGGAGCAACGCCGCGUGCAGGAGGACGCUUUUCGGAGUGUAAACUGCUUUUCUGUGGGACGAGGAUGGACGGUACCACAGGAAGAAGCCCCGGCUAACUACGUGCCAGCAGCCGCGGUAAUACGUAGGGGGCGAGCGUUGUCCGGAGUUACUGGGCGUAAAGGGCAUGCAGGCGGUCGGACGCGUUUUGUGUGACAGCGGAUGGCUUAACUAUCCGAGGAUACGAAAGACGGUUUGACUUGAGGGCUCGAGAGGGACACGGAAUUCCGGGUGGAGUGGUGAAAUGCGUAGAGAUCCGGAGGAACACCAAAGGCGAAGGCAGUGUCCUGGCGAGUACCUGACGCUGAGGUGCGAAAGCUAGGGGAGCGAACGGGAUUAGAUACCCCGGUAGUCCUAGCCGUAAACGAUGACCACCAGGUGUGGGAGGUAUCGACCCCUUCCGUGCCGGAGGAAACCCACUAAGUGGUCCGCCUGGGGAGUACGGUCGCAA
rnacentral:rRNA from 1 species